rnacentral:rRNA from 1 species
GACGAACGCUGGCGGCGUGCCUAACACAUGCAAGUCGAGCGAGUGAAUCUCCUUCGGGAGUGAAGCUAGCGGCGGACGGGUGAGUAACACGUGGGCAACCUGCCUCAUAGAGGGGAAUAGCCUUUCGAAAGGAAGAUUAAUACCGCAUAAGAUUGUAGCUUCGCAUGAAGUAGCAAUUAAAGGAGCAAUCCGCUAUGAGAUGGGCCCGCGGCGCAUUAGCUAGUUGGUGAGGUAACGGCUCACCAAGGCGACGAUGCGUAGCCGACCUGAGAGGGUGAUCGGCCACAUUGGGACUGAGACCCGGCCCAGACUCCUACGGGAGGCAGCGGUGGGGAAUAUUGCACAAUGGGGAAACCCUGAUGCAGCAACGCCGCGUGAGUGAUGACGGCCUUCGGGUUGUAAAGCUCUGUCUUCAGGGACGAUAAUGACGGUACCUGAGGAGGAAGCCACGGCUAACUACGUGCCAGCCGCCGCCGUAACAC